rnacentral:pre_miRNA from 1 species
GCAGUACAUAGCAGAAAGUAUAAAACAGAGAGAGGACGAAACACAGAAGAGUUCAUCCUCUCUCUGUUUUAUACUUUCUGUUAUCUAGUACAUC